CGGAUAGAGGCCCGCUGGUUUGGGUGUUUAGCUGUUAACUAAAAUUUUACGGGAUCGAGGCCCGUCUAUCUAG
rnacentral:tRNA from 1 species